rnacentral:rRNA from 1 species
UUUAUUGGAGAGUUUGAUCCUGGCUCAGGAUGAACGCUGGCGGCGUGCCUAAUACAUGCAAGUCGAGCGAAUGGAUUAAGAGCUUGCUCUUAUGAAGUUAGCGGCGGACGGGUGAGUAACACGUGGGUAACCUGCCCAUAAGACUGGGAUAACUCCGGGAAACCGGGGCUAAUACCGGAUAAUAUUUUGAACUGCAUGGUUCGAAAUUGAAAGGUGGCUUCGGCUGUCACUUAUGGAUGGACCCGCGUCGCAUUAGCUAGUUGGUGAGGUAACGGCUCACCAAGGCAACGAUGCGUAGCCGACCUGAGAGGGUGAUCGGCCACACUGGGACUGAGACACGGCCCAGACUCCUACGGGAGGCAGCAGUAGGGAAUCUUCCGCAAUGGACGAAAGUCUGACGGAGCAACGCCGCGUGAGUGAUGAAGGCUUUCGGGUCGUAAAACUCUGUUGUUAGGGAAGAACAAGUGCUAGUUGAAUAAGCUGGCACCU